UCCUGCAAAGUAAUUUUUACAUUUAGCUUCGACCUAAAACCUUGGGUUUAUAGUUCCCUGCAUGAA
rnacentral:tRNA from 1 species